UUCAUCUGCUCCAGGUACUUUUUCCAUCAUCCUCUCCCUCUCCUCCUUCAGAUUCUGAUGAGUCCUUUUUUUAAGCAGGGACUGCUCUCUCCACUGCUUAUUGAAAUCCUCCAACUUCUUCCUUCUCUCCUCAUCCUUCAGCAGCUCCUUCCUCUUCUCCCUCUCUCUCUCUGCCCGGGUCAUGGUGGAUAUUACCCUUGGGUGUCCAGGGAAGGCUGGGAGGGGAGAAGAAGUAGAGUUCACAUUCAACUUAGUGGAUCUGGUAUCAACUAAAAUGUAAUGGACACAGGGAAUUAAGAAUAGAAAACACAGUUGGAGCUCAAUGAUUCUUUAAUCUUUUCAAUUGAGCAAGGCAUGGAAUUUGUCAAUAAAGUGCAAUAAUUCCCAUCCCGAAUUGACCUGACCCUAAGUUGAACAUGAGCCCCAAAUGGCACCUAUUCCUUGUAUAGAGCCAGGGCCUAUGUGAUAGCUUAGGGCUCCAUGGCAACUAGGGGACCCCCGACCCCCCCAAAACCCUUUUUUGUGUGUGUUUUUUAGGAACUCUUUCUGGGUCUCUACUUAGUCUUGAGAGUUAGACUAGUAGAUGACAUAAGGUAUCAUUUAAAAACGUGGUUGUUACAUCAGCAGUAUUUUUCUUGUUAUGUCAGUCAGUCACUCAAUUAGCCAUGUCAGCUAACAUAUUCUUUGGACAGUAGUUUUAUAUUGAAACAAUGAUGCAACAUGAUGACUGGCUUGGAACUUAUGUGUGUAGAGGAGACUAAAGAGGAUGAUGUCAUAAGCAGAGGUAAAACAGGUCUUACCUAUGUGGACGAUCUUAUAGCCCUCCUCAGCCUCUCUCUGAUACGUUCUCUCCAUCUUUUUGAGGUUCCUCUUCUCCCACUUCUUAUUCACCCAGUCCACAGCUCUCCUUCGGAUACUUUUAUCAGGUGGGAUAAGGUCCUCCUUGUCAUCUUCCUCCUCCUCCUCCUCUUCACUGUUCUCUGUAGUCUUCCUCUGCUUUCUUAAUAAUCACUUCCUGCUUUUCUUCCAUCUCUCUCUCCUGUUCUAUCUCCAGUUCAUUCUGCCCCUCAUUUGUUCUUCCUGCUUCCUCCCUCUCUCUCAUAAUCAUAUUUUCUUUCUCCAUCUCUUUCUGUUGCUGAUCUUUUAAUUCUAUCUCUCCCUGAUUCUCAUUGUCUUUCUCCCUUUCUUUCUCUUUCUCCAUUUGUUUCUGUCUCUCCUCUUGUUGUUGUCGUCUGUGUAUCUCUUCUAUCUUUCUCUGUAUCUUGUUCUCCCUCUCUCUUCCCUCCUUCUCCAUGUCAAUUUGCUUCUGUUUCCAUAUAUCUUCUUCUUCUUGAUCUCUCUCAAACUUUCUCUUUCUCUCCUCUUGUUGUUGUCGUCUCUCUUUCUCUCCCAUCUCUCUUUCUCCCUCUCUCUUUCUUCCUCUUCCAUCUCUAUUUGCUUCUGUUUACAUCUUUCUUCUUCAUUCACUCUUUCAAUCUCUCUCUGUCUCUCUUGUUUGCUUUCCAUAUUUUUUUGUCUCUUUUUUGUCUGUUUCCAUAUUUUCUAAUUCUAGCAGCUGUACCUUGAUUUUCUUGAAGACUUCCUCCAAUUCAGACGUCUUUUUGUCAUUGAUGAGGGCUGUCUCCAUCUCCAUCUCUCUCUCCACUCUAUUUUUCAUCUCCUCUUCUCUUCGUCUCCAAUCAUUUUCUCUCUCUCUAUCAAAUGUUCUCUCUGGUUCAGUCUCGUGUUUCAAUCUAAUCUCUUCUUUCAUUCUCACAACCUCUCUGUCUAACACUAGCACAUUUUGGUUAACCUGUUUCACUCUCUCAUUCUGUCUUCUAUAUGCUUCUUUCGCUCUUUCAAAUUUGAUUUUGUAUUGAAUCUCUUUUGUUGUCAUAUCUUCUUUCAGUCUCUCAACCUCUCUCUCUAACUCUUUUACCUUUCCGUUAACCAGUUUGACUUUCUCAUUCUCUGCAAUACACAUGUCUCUUUCUCUUUCAAAUAUGAUUUCCUUUUCCAUCUCUUUCAAUGUCUCAAUCUCUCGUUCUAACGCUUUUAUCGUUUCUUCUGCCUGUUUCACUUUCUUCUUCAUUUCUUGUCUUUCCAAUUCUGCUUUUCUCUCCCUUUCCAUCUCCCUUUCUCUCUCUCUUUCUCUCUCUCUUUCCCUCUCUCUUUCUGUCUCAAUAGGUUUGUUGUUCCAGGCCAGUCUUGGUCGCUGAUCCUCCAUGACUUUCUGCCAUAGCCUCAAUCUCUCUAUCUCUUGCUUCAUUUUAAAAGGUGAAAUUAGUGAUAAUCUAUGACCGAGACAUACUUUCAAAGGAUUUGCAGAGAAUGAUACAUAGAAAUACAACCUAGACCUAGGUAAUUGAAUCAAACACUGGACAACAUCAAUAGCAGGGUUAUUUUGAUCAAUUCAUCUGGACAAUUCAUUGUCAAUUAAUGUAUUGACAUGUUUGAAAGAAUUAUGAGACAUUUUAUGGACAAAUACAAACACACAACUAGCUUGCCNNNNNNNNNNNNNNNNNNNNNNNNNNNNNNNNNNNNNNNNNNNNNNNNNNNNNNNNNNNNNNNNNNNNNNNNNNNNNNNNNNNNNNNNNNNNNNNNNNNNNNNNNNNNNNNNNNNNNNNNNNNNNNNNNNNNNNNNNNNNNNNNNNNNNNNNNNNNNNNNNNNNNNNNNNNNNNNNNNNNNNNNNNUUAAUCAGGGCCCGUUCAUCGUUAGAACCAUUGGAUGCCUUAACAUGCCUUUGGGAAAUCGAGCCCAGAUAUCCAGUUUCAUCCUCGUCUUCCUCCAAUGUGACAGCAAUCUCCUCCUCCUCUUUCACUCCAAAAACUGCAUCCUCCUCUUUCUCUUCCUCUUCUUUAACAGUAACAUCCUCCUCUUUCACCCUGAACGAAUCUUCCUCUUCUUUAACUGAAACGUCUUUCUCUUCUUCUUUCACUGUAACAGCCUCACCCUUUACUUGUUUUUGUAUUGUGACAUCCUAUUCCUCCUCUUUCACGACAACGUUAAGCCACAGACCAUCUUUCUCCGUCCAGCAGACCUCUUCUUUAGCAGGAGGAGAGUAGCUUAGUGAACUCAUGGUCGGGGAUGUUAGCUAGCUAGGCUAAUGCUAAUUUAACCAGCACGCUAGCUGACCAAUAACAACAACACCGUAAAUAUGAAAUUAAAUCGGAUAACUAACUGGACGACAGAAGUGGUUUUAAAACACAGUGGCUAAUAUACACUAAAGCGUCUAAAGAGCUUUAUCGGUUCGGCUAUUUUGUCUAGCAAGCUACCGAGGUGGCUGACUAACUGUUGCUGCUGUUGAAAGAAGCGUUCCGUCCACUAGAUUAUACGUCACACCAACAGCAUCGCCUUAAAGCCCCACAUGAUGUAUUGUUACUCCAUGUAGGAGCAGUAUAGACCUAGUCUGUUCAUUAUAUACAUCUACAUGAUGUAUUGUUACACCAUGUAGGAGCAGUAUAGACCUAGUCUGUUCAUUAUAUACAUCUACAUGAUGUAUUGUUACACCAUGUAGGAGCAGUAUAGACCUAGUCUGUUCAUUAUAUACAUCUACAUGAUGUAUUGUUACACCACGUAGGAGCAGUAUAGACCUACAGUAGCUAAUUGCUAAUUUAGAUGUUGUUUGACUUAAUGAUGGUAGGUUUGGUCGAUGUGUUGCUGGUAGUUGUGGUAGGUCAGUGUGGUAGGUGUGGUAGUUGUGGUAGGUAGGUGUGGUAGUUGUGGUAGAUAGGGGUGGUAGUUGUGGUAUGUAGGUGUGGUAGUUGUGGUAGGUAGGUUUGGUGAUGGUUGGUUUUGUAGUUGUGGGUGUGGUAGGUGUGGUGAUGGUAGGUGUGGUAGUUGUGGUAGGUCGGUGUGGUAGUUGUGGUAGUUGUGAUAGGUAGGUGUGGUAGUUGUGGUAGAUAGGGGUGGUAGUUGUGGUAUAUAGGUGUGGUAGUUGUGGUAGGUGUGGUGAUUAGGCUUGGGCUGUAUCCAGAUUUUCAUAUAGUCAUACCGUCCUUCUCUCAUACCAGGAUUUAAAGUACUACCAACAUAGCACAUGAGGGGAUGCUAAAAACACAAGAAAAGCCUAUGGGCAUCUAUUUCCAGAAUGCUAACAAAUUAGCACAAACUGUUAGCAAAUUCACAUAGACGCUGUUAGCUAAAUGCUAACAACUGAAAACGAACAAACUAAUUGCAAAGCAGUGGAGGCUUCUGAGGGGAGGACAGCUCAUAAUAAUUUCUGGAAUGAAGUCAAUUGAGUGGUAUCAAACACAUGGAAACCACAUCUUUGAUGGGUUGAUACCACUCCAUUGACUCCAUUCCAACCAUUAUUAUGAGCUGUCGUCUCCUCAGCAGCUUCCACUGUUGCAAAGAAAGGCAAAUCCAGCUCAUAAAGUUAUGUCAGGGAUAAUCAACGAGGGACUAUGUGUUCUAUGGUAAAUAAUGAACACUGUGGAACUGACCUUCCAUGGAUUUGCAUUAUUUUCCAGAGAACCAUAAAGCCCUGAGUUGAUUAUCCCUUUUAUACCAUGGCUAUAAUUUAACACAUUUGCCGGUAGAAAUGUGUUCAUUUGCCGGUGGAAAUGAGUUCAACAUCCACUGAAGUAGCUAGCAAGUUUUACUAGAUAGCUACAAUAGUUGCCUUGGUAACCAAACAAACAUACUUGCUAGUUUAGAUUAACCAAACCAUCAGU
rnacentral:lncRNA from 8 species